rnacentral:misc_RNA from 1 species
AGAAGAAACCCCCCAUGUUGGUGAGCUAAUAAUUUGGUUGGAAGUGAGGUUGCAGCAGAAAAGAAUUGAAUGAUCUAAAAAAUUUACUAAAAUUUGGAGAAAUGAAAAUGAUGUUAUCUUCAGACAAGAGAACUAGAAAAUGGAAGAAGGAAUUAAGUAUCUUGAUUCUUGAAGGUUCAUGUGGUGACUGGUGCAGUGACAACCAGGGAAAGCUUUUCUGGCUUUUUCUUUCAUAAAACAGCUAUGACCUCUGUUUCUCCUCUAGCCAUUGAAACUCCCAUGGCUUUGGGUUCAAUCUUCCAAGCUCAGGCCUCUCCGGGUACGCUUCUAAUCGCCUUAUCCUUUUUUCUUUCCUGCUUCUGAUUCUAACCCUUCAAGACCCUGAUUGCUGUGACUUUGAUUUGGGUAGCUGAUGAUUCUCAAGAGCAUUUA